UAGCCGUAAACGAUACUCGCUAGGUGUCGGCCACGGUGCGACCGUUGUCGGUGCCGUAGGGAAGCCGUGAAGCGAGCCACCUGGGAAGUACGGCCGCAAGGCUGAAACUUAAAGGAAUUGGCGGGGGAGCACAACAACGGGUGGAGCUUGCGGUUUAAAUUGGAUUCAAACGCCGGAAAUCUUACCGGGACCGACAGCAACAUGAAGGCCAAGCUGAAGACUUUGCCGGAUUAGCUGAGAGGAGGUGCAUGGCGUA
rnacentral:rRNA from 1 species